rnacentral:lncRNA from 1 species
GGAGGAUCUACACUUUCCUCCUGGCAAGACGAAUGCACAGAUACCAGAGCACGAAAACAAACUUUGUUGAGACAAGACCAGGAUUACAGGACAUAUUUCAGUCGCAGUUAACUGAUGUGGAUCACAGACUUUUCCAGCUGUUUGCUGAAGUGUUUGAUCGCAGAGGGACGAGGAGACACGGACAAAUAAUAUAAAGUCAGGUGAAGUUUUUUAGUCCACAGAACAUUUCUGGAGCUUCACAGUAAAACAGAGUUGCAGCAUUUUGCUAAACAGCUGACGCAGCUGACACUUGAUUUAAAACAUGAAUGGCUCCUGACAGCUCUCCUGGUGUAAUGCAAGUUUUUGGAAGUGUUAGCCAUCUUUUUUUUUUCUGUUUUACUGUGAAGCUCCAGAAAUGUUUCUGGACUCUGAGACUUCACCUGACUUUAUAUCAUCAGGAGGAGGAGACGAGGACUGGAGUGACUUUUAUGGGGGAACUAAUGUCGUCUCCUUUAUUGUAAACUGUUUAAAUUGACAGACUGUGUUACUGACAUCCAGUAAACACAAAGUCCAGUCCUGCCUGUUUACAGUCGCUGCAGAUGAUCAAGGAGUGGCUCCUCCUUCAGACGGCACACUUGCAUAUUUGAGCUGCCUGCUUUCUGUUCACAGCGUCACAGGUGAAGGUGUGCAGUGGAGGAACAGCUGAGCUGUGAGACCAUUUGAUCUGUCCAGUCAUGUCCUCCACCAUCCUGCUGAUCGUCCUUCUGUCUGAAAUUGAUCUCCACCCAUGGGCAGAACAUUAAUGAUGACAGCACACAUUACAGGUCUGAUCUCAGAGCAGCUUCUCAGGGCAGCUGUUGGAGGAUCCGUCCUGAUCCCAUGUUCUCUUCCUGGUAAUCCACUGAGGUUUUACUGGCAGGAGGACCAGUCUCCUUACCUUUUGUGUCACUGGGACGGUGGGAAAACAUUGCCAGGAUGUGACAAAUACAAUGGCAGAUUCCAAGUCUUCACUUCUGAGUUUAGUUCUGGAAACAUUUCCAUCAGACUUGACAACAUUUCUCCUGAAGAUGAUAAGAAAACAUUCUUUGCCUACGUUAAAUUUGAUGAGCAGAUACAAUCUGAACGACGGUGUGAGUCCACGCUGCAGGUUUCAGCUCCCUACCAGGAUCUGGUCCUGACAGUUAACCACACAACCAACAGUGCAACCUGCUCAGCACGAGGAGGAUACCCUGCAGCUCAGGUAUCAUGGAAGGGUCUGAACAGAUCCAGUGAUGAACAAAUGGACCUGCAGGAUGCUGAGACGUUCCUGCAGCAGGCUCCAACAGAGAAAACCUUCUCCUUCACAAGCUCUGUCAACGUUACAGGGUUAAAGUCUGUAACCUGCAUCGUCUACAACCCUCACUCCAACAAGACCAUUAACAAAACUAUGGAGUUGGUGGAGAUCAACACUGCUGAUCCUCCUGGUGUGUGGAUCACAACGCCAACCUUCUCUACUCCUUCCCAGGAUGAAAACGGGAGGCAUCAUUUUCUAAUAAUUGCAGCUGUUGUCCUCUUCAUCAUCCUCAUCCUCAUCCUUGCUGGUUUCUGUCGGUGGUACAAAAGUCAAUGUCCAGUUCCAGGACCAGUUCUAGAACUGAACCCAGAACCAGACGUCCCUAAUCUCCAAGAUGCAGUUCAAGAAGAAGCUCCAGAUUUAAAUCCAGAUGCAGCUCGAGAACCAGUCGAUCCUAAUCCCCAAGACCCAGUUCAAGAAGAAGCUCCAGCUCCAGAUCAAGCUCCAGGUCCAGAUCAAGAUCAGGAUCCAGAUCAAGCUCCAGGUCCAGAUCAAGAUCAGGAUCCAGAUCAAGCUCCAGGUCCAGAUCAAGAUCAAGAUCAAGAUCAAGAUCAAGAUCAAGAUCCAGAUCAAGCUCCAGGUCCAGAUCAAGAUCAGGAUCCAGAUCAAGCUCCAGGUCCAGAUCAAGAUCAAGAUCAAGCUCCAGGUCCAGAUCAAGAUCAAGCUCAAGGUCCAGAUCAAGAUCAGGAUCCAGAUCAAGCUCCAGGUCCAGAUCAAGAUCAAGCUCCAGGUCCAGAUCAAGAUCAGGAUCCAGAUCAAGCUCCAGGUCCAGACCAAGAUCAGGAUCAGGAUCCAGAUCAAGCUCCAGGUCCAGAUCAAGAUCAGGAUCAGGAUCCAGAUCAAGCUCCAGCCAACCAACCACCAGCCGAACAUGAUCCCCAAGAUGGAGCUGAAGCUGAAGAUGCAGACGCAGCAGAACCUGCCCCAGACCCAGUUCAGGAGGAAGCAGCUGAUCCAUCUGAGGACACUGUUCUACUAUCUAAGGAUCGAGCUGUGUUUCACUGUCAGACAAAGACGAGUGAAGGUACUGCAGACUGCGACACCUGUGAGGACGCUGCUGCUUCACCAGAGAAAGAAAAACUGCUGGAAAAAGAAAAUGGAAAUGAAGACAGCGCCUCUGAUUGA